rnacentral:tRNA from 1 species
UCCCUGGGGGCUCAGAUGGUAAAGAAUCUGCCUGCGAUGCAGGAGACCCAGGUUUGAUCCCUGGAUGGGGAA